rnacentral:rRNA from 1 species
UGGGGAAUAUUGGACAAUGGGGGCAACCCUGAUCCAGCCAUACCGCGUGAGUGCUAAGGCCUUCGGGUUGUAAAACUCUUUUACCCACGACGAUGAUGACGGUAGUGGGAGAAUAAGUCCCGGCAAACUUCGUGCCAGCAGCCGCGGUAAUACGAAGGGGACUAGCGUUGUUCGGAUUUACUGGGCGUAAAGGGCGCGUAGGUUGUAGAAUAAGUCAGGUGUGAAAUCCCCGAGCUCAACUUGGGAACUGCAUUUGAUACUGUUUUACUGGAGUAUGGGAGAGGUGAGCGGAAUUCCGAGUGUAGAGGUGAAAUUCGUAGAUAUUCGGAAGAACACCGAUGGCGAAGGCAGCUCACUGGACCAUAACUGACACUGAGGCGCGAAAGCGUGGGGAUCAAAC